AUUGAACGCUGGCGGCAGGCCUAACACAUGCAAGUCGAGCGAGCGGCGGACGGGUGAGUAAUGGAGGGGGACUGCCCGAUAGAGGGGGAUAACUAAUGGAAACGGUGGCUAAUACCGCAUAAUAUAGGAUCACCCAGAUGGGAUUAGCUAGGAGGUGGGGUACAGGCUCACCUAGGCGACGAUCUCUAGCUGGUCCGAGAGGAUGAUCGGCGACACUGGGACUGAGACAAGGCCCAGACUCCUACGGAGGCAGCAGUGGGGAAUAUUGCGCAAUGGGCGCAAGCCUGAUGGAGCCAUGCCGCUUGUGUGAAGAAGGCUUUAGGGUUGUAAAGUACUUUCGGCGGGGAGGCGUUACCCGCAGAAAAAGCACCGGCUAACUCCGUGCCAGCAGCCGCGGUAAUAC
rnacentral:rRNA from 1 species